AGGACGAACGCUGGCGGCGUGCUUAACACAUGCAAGUCGAGCGGUAAGGCCUUUCGGGGUACACGAGCGGCGAACGGGUGAGUAACACGUGGGUGAUCUGCCCUGCACUUCGGGAUAAGCCUGGGAAACUGGGUCUAAUACCGGAUAUGACCUCCUAUCGCAUGGUGGGUGGUGGAAAGAUUUAUCGGUGCAGGAUGGGCCCGCGGCCUAUCAGCUUGUUGGUGGGGUAAUGGCCUACCAAGGCGACGACGGGUAGCCGACCUGAGAGGGUGACCGGCCACACUGGGACUGAGACACGGCCCAGACUCCUACGGGAGGCAGCAGUGGGGAAUAUGCACAAUGGGCGAAAGCCUGAUGCAGCGACGCCGCGUGAGGAUGACGGCCUUCGGGUUGUAAACCUCUUUCAGCAGGACGAAGCGCAAGUGACGGUACCUGCAGAAGAAGCACCGGCUAACUACGUGCCAGCAGCCGC
rnacentral:rRNA from 1 species